rnacentral:rRNA from 1 species
UACAGAGGAUGCAAGCGUUAUCCGGAAUGAUUGGGCGUGAAGCGUCUGUAGGUGGCUUUUUAAGUCCGCCGUCAAAUCCCAGGGCUCAACUCUGGACAGGCGGUGGAAACUACCAAGCUGGAGUACGGUAGGGGCAGAGGGAAUUUCCGGUGGAGCGGUGAAAUGCGUAGAGAUCGAAAAGAACACCAACGGCGAAAGCACUCUGGGACGGUACUGACGCUGAGACGCGAAAGCGUGGGGAGCGAACAGG